GAUGUACACUGAAAAAAAGGGACUGGCCAUCUCUUGGAUUUAUGUGAAGUAAGUCAAUAAGAUAGCAACGUUAAAUCUCGUGAAACCACGCGUGAUUUCAUCUCGCGGGCUUUGGAUCGUGGUUCAAAAAAGGCAUCCAUCUCAGUCAAGUCGAGCAGCCAACUCUACGUUUUUGGAGUCAGCUGAUGGAUUGUGGGUUCAAGGUGUUAUGAUAAAAUGCAGCAUUCCAGUGCAUCCCAACCAUGCCUUUACAGUCAAGGUUUCUGACGGAGCUGAGUUUCUCUCUGACAGUCUGCUGAAAGUGUUUGCAAAGUGAUCGGGGGAACAGUGCACAAAGCUAAAGGAUGUAGCUGCC
ensembl:lncRNA